rnacentral:rRNA from 1 species
AUUGAACGCUGGCGGCAGGCCUAACACAUGCAAGUCGAACGAGUGGCGGACGGGCGAGUAAUGUCUGGGAAACUGCCUGAUGGAGGGGGAUAACUACUGGAAACGGUAGCUACUACCGCAUACCAUCGGAUGUGCCCGGAUGGGAUGAGCUAGUAGGUGGGGUAAAGGCUCACCUAGGCGAAGAUCCCUAGCUGGUCUGAGAGGAUGACCAGCCACACUGGGACUGAGACACGGUCCAGACUCCUACGGGAGGCAGCAGUGGGGAAUAUUGCGCAAUGGGCGCAAGCCUGACGCAGCCAUGCCGCGUGUAUGAAGAAGGCCUUCGGGUUGUAAAGUACUUUCAGUGGGGAGGCGUUACCCGAAGAAGAAGCACCGGCUAACUCCGUGCCAGCCGCCGCGGUAAUAC